UACGAAGGGGGCUAGCGUUGCUCGGAAUCACUGGGCGUAAAGGGUGCGUAGGCGGGUCUUUUAAGUCAGGGGUGAAAUCCUGGAGCUCAACUCCAGAACUGCCUUUGAUACUGAGGAUCUUGAGUUCGGGAGAGGUGAGUGGAACUGCGAGUGUAGAGGUGAAAUUCGUAGAUAUUCGCAAGAACACCAGUGGCGAAGGCGGCUCACUGGCCCGAUACUGACGCUGAGGCACGAAAGCGUGGGGAGCAAAGCAGGG
rnacentral:rRNA from 1 species